rnacentral:rRNA from 1 species
UACUCCUACGGGAGGCAGCAGUGGGGAAUAUUGCACAAUGGGCGCAAGCCUGAUGCAGCCAUGCCGCGUGUAUGAAGAAGGCCUUCGGGUCGUAAAGUACUUUCAGCGGGGAGGAAGGUGUUGAGGUUAAUAACCUCAGCAAUUGACGUUACCCGCAGAAGAAGCACCGGCUAACUCCGUGCCAGCAGCCGCGGUAAUAAU